rnacentral:lncRNA from 1 species
GAGAACAAAAGAGAAAUUAGAAGAGGGUACUUCUAGCUCCACCUUGAGAACACUGGGAGUAUGGGCUUACAGCAGAAGAGGAAAGUGGUGAGGUCAGCAGCUGAGGCGUGGAUGGGGAGAAGAGAGAACGGAAACUCAUUGAGAAAUACAUUGUGUCAGCUGGGAAACCUGACAGGGUCAUUGGCCACCAGGCCACGAGGACAAAGGGAGCAGAAUCGAUGAACAGGAUUUCAGAUGGCCGAGGAUCCUGGUUCAGUCCCACAUCGUGGCUCACCACCUUAUCUCCAGUUCCCGAGGACACAACCUCCUCUUCUGAACUUGGUGGGUACAGAGUGCACAUACAGACAUUCAGGAGAAACAUUG